rnacentral:lncRNA from 1 species
CUCCUGUUUUGUGCAGGAGAUUUUCCACUGCUAGUCAAAUGGUGGUGCUAGUUCUUUAUUUUUGAGUUACUGCAUUUCCUAAUUUCAUGGUCAUAACAGCUUCAGAACGCAUUCCACCAAAACUGAAAAGGCAGCCUCCAUGCUGAGAAGCUCCUUAACAGGCUCGAAAGGUUAAUGUUCCUUUCUCUUGCCCAUUCUAUAGCAUAAGAAGACAGUCUUUGAGUGAUUUUCUUCUCUUCAAGUCAAGCCUAUCCAGCAAGAAGCCAAGUGGAGAGUUGAGCAAUUAUCUGAAGUGGGCAGUGAGACGGCCAAAACCAGAUAAUACUUAACCAGAAAGUCAUCGUGGAGGGAAAAAGUGGACUGAAAAUAGAAGGGAUGGGGUAAAAUGUCAAACAAUUUGUUCUGGACUAGGUUUCUUAGCAUCAUGCAUUGUUGUGAUCCUCGUGGUCUGUGAUUCUUUUUGCCAAGCCUGCUUCAUCAGUCCCCAGAUGUCCCGCAGUUUCGAGGCAUCGGAAUCCUAGCAACAGAUUUCUCAUUUAAGUAGGAUUGUCUUGAUCACCAGUCUCCCACAGGAGCGUGAAGGGAUUCCAAGUUCAUUGCCUGUUGCCAAGCCAAGUGAGAAGCAGCUGUCGUCAGCAGAGUCAGGACUAUAAAAGUAUUCAGAGUGCUUGUGAAACAUCCCUCAAAGAUUUGUUUUUUACGAAGCCACUCUCCUUUACUCUCAAGUGACACGAAGCCCUUAUAGGUUCUACCUCUGAAAUUCUUGGAUCCCAUUUCCAAAAUAUGGCCAUGACAUAGAUUAAAGUCAAUUAUUUAACUUCACCUUGUUCAUGCCCUGAGUUGAUUUUGAACUUCUGACUUAAUUUAUAGGUAUCAUACUUCAAUUUGUCUCUGGCAGAAUUUCUUUCCUUCUCACCCUUCAGUUUCAUCUCUGAGUAAUC